CCCUUAGAUGUCCUGGGCUGCACGCGCGCUACACUGAUGUGUCCAGUAAGCACCUAACCUCUUCCGAAAGGAACGGGUAACCUUUGCAAAGCACAUCGUGAUGGGGAUAGAUUAUUGUAAUUAUUAGUCUUGAACGAGGAAUUCCUAGUAAGCACAAGUCAUCAGCCUGUGUUGAUUACGUCCCUGCCCUUUGUACACACCGCCCGUCGCUCCUACCGAUUGAAUGUUCCGGUGAGCUCUUCGGACUGCGCGGUCUGCAGUUUCUGCGUUCCGUGCGGAAAGUUGCGCAAACCUUAACAUUUAGAGGAAGGAGAAGUCGUAACA
rnacentral:rRNA from 1 species